rnacentral:tRNA from 1 species
AGCCUUGGCACACCUUCGUGUGCGUCUCUAGAUUUGCAUU